rnacentral:tRNA from 1 species
GGGGCUGUAGCUCAAUUGGGAGAGCGCUUGCAUGGCAUGCAAGAGGUCGCCGGUUCGACCCCGGUCAGCUCCA